UACAGAGGUCUCAAGCGUUGUUCGGAUUCACUGGGCGUAAAGGGUGCGUAGGUGGCGAAGUAAGUUGGAUGUGAAAGCUCCGAGCUUAACUCGGAAAUGGCAUUCAAAACUACUUUGCUAGAGGGUUGGAAGGGGGACUGGAAUUCUCGGUGUAGCAGUGAAAUGCGUAGAUAUCGAGAGGAACACCAGUGGCGAAGGCGAGUCCCUGGACAACUCCUGACACUGAGGCACGAAAGCUAGGGGAGCAAACAGG
rnacentral:rRNA from 1 species